rnacentral:rRNA from 1 species
UACGUAGGGGGGCAAGCGUUGUCCGGAUUUAUUGGGCGUAAAGAGCGUGUAGGCGGCUUUACAGGUCCGUUGUGAAAACUCGAGGCUCAACCUCGAGACGCCGGUGGAAACCGUAAGGCUAGAGUCCGGAAGAGGAGAGUGGAAUUCCUGGUGUAGCGGUGAAAUGCGCAGAUAUCAGGAGGAACACCCGUGGCGAAAGCGGCUCUCUGGGACGGUACUGACG